AUGUGCGAUCAUACCAGCACUAAUGCACCAGAUCCCAUCAGAACUCCGCAGUCAAGCGCGCUUGGGCGAGAGUAGUACUAGGAUGGGUGACCUCCUGGGAAGUCCUCGUGUUGCACCUC
rfam:Lupinus angustifolius cultivar Tanjil contig_20973, whole genome shotgun sequence.